rnacentral:rRNA from 1 species
GGCUCAGGACGAACGCUGGCGGCGUGCUUAACACAUGCAAGUCGAACGAUGAAGCCCAGCUUGCUGGGUGGAAGAGUGGCGAACGGGUGAGUAACACGUGAGUAACCUGCCCUGAACUCUGGGAUAAGCACUGGAAACGGUGUCUAAUACUGGAUACGACCUAUCACCGCAUGGUGUGUGGGUGGAAAGAUUUAUCGGUUUUGGAUGGACUCGCGGCCUAUCAGCUAGAUGGUGAGGUAAUGGCUCACCAUGGCGACGACGGGUAGCCGGCCUGAGAGGGUGACCGGCCACACUGGGACUGAGACACGGCCCAGACUCCUACGGGAGGCAGCAGUGGGGAAUAUUGCACAAUGGGCGCAAGCCUGAUGCAGCAACGCCGCGUGAGGGAUGACGGCCUUCGGGUUGUAAACCUCUUUUAGUAG